rnacentral:lncRNA from 1 species
ACAGUAGCAACAUAACCCCCCAAUGUUCUUUGAAAAUAAGCAGUAAAAAUGAAUUACGAUUCAGCGCCUACUAAGUUAGAGGCUGACAGGGGUUCCCUAGUCCAGGCGAAUACGUAAGAUGAUUUUUGUGUGUGUGUGCGUGUGUGUGUGUGCGUGUUGCUGCGAUUGAUCCCUUUGAUGGCAUUCUCAUUCAUAAAACAGUUUGAUUUAUGAGUUUGGGAAGAAUUACCUCAAGA